rnacentral:rRNA from 1 species
GCCCGAGAAAACUUGCUUUUAAAGACUCAGAGACCAUCUUCUUCGGUGCGUCGGGGUGGCAAAGGGGGGAACGCAUAUAUGGAUUUAGUGUUUAGGUGGCAUAGUAGGGAUAGGAGUGGCACGCGGCGGGCGGAGAUGGGUAGGUAGGCGGCGGUGUCGGUACAGCCGCAGUGGCCGGUAGCGGAGAGAUGGUGGAGGGAGAGGGGGGAUGUCUUUGAGGAACGGAGUGGGGUGGCUUCCUUGGAGGAGAGGAGUGGGCACACGGCGGACGGAGAUGAGUCGAGCGGUGGCGGCCGUGGGGCAGUGGCCGUGGCGGGUGGCGGCGGCCGUGCGGCAGUGGCUGUGGCGGGUGGCGACGGAGUGGUGGGGUAGCUGCGGCUGGGGAAGUGCAACAAACUAAGUGCCCAAUCCACUACCCCUAGCUAACCUCGACGGCGCACUCCUUACUUUAAUCUAGAUGACGUACGAAGUAGUUGCUGACGGUUCACUACUCUAGAUGCCUGGGUAAGAGAAGAGUACUGGUGUUGUGCAGACGUACUCUUCUGUCCAAACUCAAGUCCAGCAACUGGUCCUGUUUGUCGUCCGGCCUGUUAUUAUUGAAAGGGGGAGUCCUUCUCGAAGAACCUGAACUGGGGUCUCUAUCGUUGUAAAGACAACAAACACCCGUACAACCCCAACAUUAAAAUGAUGAGGAAAGUGUACAAUAAUCGUGAAAGUCAAUGGCGUGUAAAAGAUGGUAUAUACAUCGACUUUUAAACAAAGGUAGUAUACAGUGUAGAAUAUACGGAUCACCUCCCUUGUUUUCAUUUAGGUUUUCGAGGAAAGUGUUAUCGAGUCGAUACUUAUCACCAAAUUUAAGAACAUCAUAGAAGUGUAGAUAACGUGCUUUCUUUAAAGUGAAAUGUAAAUACUAAAACUACAUACCAUAUAUUUACCGUAGGGAAAAAUUAAAAACAUACAACGUACUCCGAACGGACAACGGUGAAAUGAAACUUUAUGUUGUCAUUCGAUAAUAUACGCAUAAAAAGUCGAGUUGAGAAUUUAAAGUGAAUAAAAUCUGUUUGUAUCAUUUUGGAUGAUUUGUCUAAGUAUAGUACGUAUUAUUAUAAAAGAGAUCAAGAAACAGAUUUGGUAAAAUGUAAACUAACACGAAUAUAUAACAGUUGAUAAUUUAGUCCCAGAGUCCAUCUAAUAUUCCAAUUCCAAACUAGAGUGGACUACUUCAGACUGGUCUCAAGAUCUAAGAAACGAGACAAAUUAGUUGGUUCACUAUCUGAACGAUAAGUGAUUCUACAACUUAUUUUAUCCGAACCGAAAUACUUAAAACUUACCCUUUUACUACAUGACCUAUAUCGAUAUCAUACAGACACUAUGACUCUGGUGAAUGCGAACCCGCGUGUCGCUCAAAGACGUUCAAGAACAUGGAAAAUGGAAGAUGUUUAUACACGGCGAAACAAUAAAACGUGAAAAAUGAAACGCCCUUAAUUGUAUUACACGUUUUGAGAAUGGUCCACUGGGAACUACCAUACAAGUAAACGGAGAACAACGACAUGACAAGUUUACGCGGCUCCGGGUUCCCGCUUCUUCUGGUUUCCGAUACCUACCCAAAAUAACACAGAAAACCGUUGUCAUCUCUCAUCUCAUCAUACUAGAUCUAUACCAUCUCAUAAUAGAAAUCCUUGAACACACCUGUAUAAACAGCUACCUUGAACGUUAGUGUAUACACUUUAAAUUGGUCUAUACGAUGUAUCCACUUGGAUCUAAACAUGUGCCGACUCAAACGAUACUUAAUACACUACGAUUCGUGUGUACACCUUGUAUCAAAGUUACGAAUUAAAGACAGGGUUCGUUUG